UUAAUUCAUUAAUAUUGAUUUAAAUAUUUUGUAAAACUCGAGGUUUCUUUGCUAUAUAGUGGAUUCAAUAAAACAUCGUUGGCAACACUGGUUCUGUCAAAACGAUUGUUUUAUUUAAAAUUGCAUGUUAUAAUUUACGAUUGUUUUAAUAUAGUUACAAUUCGUUAGAAUUAGAAUUAACGGAUUUAUUACAUAUUACGGAUUUUCAUUGUCUAGUAAAUUUUAAAAUGGAUAAACAAAAGAGAGCACGAAGCGAAAAUUGGUUGGAAGACGACAAGUUUUAAUGCAAUGUGCAAAGGUAGCAGACGCACAUUGCAACAAAUAAAAACUCAGUGGGGAGUCAUCAAAGUAAGUAAAAAGAAAAAUUUAGCAGACCAGAGGCGAUCUCUGAAUAAAACUGGUGGAGGACCACCUACUGUGACUGUUCCAGUGGACAGUACAGACAUAUUGGCAUGGUUACCGCAGGAGUUUUACGUGGACACCAAUCUAUAUGACUCUGACGCUAAAACAGGAAUUCCAGAUGAUCAUAUAAAUGAAAUAGAUGUACCUGUUAGCGCUGUAAGUAAUAUAUAAUA